CACCUCUCAGAGUUGCACCGGGAGAGCUUCCAGUACUCUUCCAGGCUCGACUAUGGGAGGGAGAGUCAAGCAGAGGCCUGUCCAUUUCAUUCCUAGCUUGGCCAGUGGCUAGGGAGUGGAAGGCAAUCUGCUAAAAGU